rnacentral:rRNA from 1 species
ACGCUCAGUAACACGUGGACAACCUACCCUGAAGAGGGGGAUAACCCCGGGAAACUGGGGAUAAUACCCCAUAGGCUAUGGAUGCUGGAAUGCUCUGUAGUUGAAAGGUCCGCCGCUUCAGGAUGGGUCUGCGGCCGAUUAGGUUGUUGUUGGGGUAACGGCCCAACAAGCCUGUAAUCGGUACGGGUUGUGGGAGCAAGAGCCCGGAGAUGGAUUCUGAGACACGAAUCCAGGCCCUACGGGGCGCAGCAGUCGCGAAAACUUUGCAGUGCGAGCAAUCGUGACAAGGGAACUCCGAGUGCCUGUAAAAUCAGGCUGUCCGCCAGUGUAAAUAACUGGCGAAGAAAGGGCCGGGCAAGACCGGUGCCAGCCGCCGCGGUAAUACCGGCGGCUCGAGUGGUGGCCACUAUUACUGGGCUUAAAGCGUUCGUAGCUGGCUUGUUAAGUCUCUGGGGAAAUCUUCCGGCUUAACCGGAAGGCGUCUCAGGGAUACUGGCAGGCUAGGGACCGGAAGAGGUGAGAGGUACUCCAGGGGUAGGAGUGAAAUCCUGUAAUCCUUGGGGGACCACCUGUGGCGAAGGCGUCUCACCAGAACGGCUCCGACAGUGAGGAACGAAAGCCGGGGGAGCAAACCGGAUUAGAUACCCGGGUAGUUCCAGCUGUAAACGAUGCGCGUUAGGUGUAUCGGUGACCACGAGUCACCGAGGUGCCGAAGAGAAAUCGUGAAACGUGCCGCCUGGGAAGUACGGUCGCAAGGCUGAAACUUAAAGGAAUUGGCGGGGGAGCAC